rnacentral:rRNA from 1 species
GACGAACGCUGGCGGCGUGCUUAACACAUGCAAGUCGAACGGUGAAGCCCUUCGGGGUGGAUCAGUGGCGAACGGGUGAGUAACACGUGAGCAACCUGCCCCUGGCUCUGGGACAACCACUGGAAACGGUGGCUAAUACCGGAUACGACCCGCCUCGGCAUCGAGUGUGGGUGGAAAGUUUUUCGGCUGGGGAUGGGCUCGCGGCCUAUCAGCUUGUUGGUGAGGUGAAGGCUCACCAAGGCGACGACGGGUAGCCGGCCUGAGAGGGCGACCGGCCACACUGGGACUGAGACACGGCCCAGACUCCUACGGGAGGCAGCAGUGGGGAAUAUUGCACAAUGGGCGAAAGCCUGAUGCAGCGACGCCGCGUGAGGGAUGACGGCCUUCGGGUUGUAAACCUCUUUCAGCUCCGAAGAAGCGAAAGUGACGGUAGGAGCAGAAGAAGCACCGGCUAGCUACGUG